GGUAAUGGCCCACCAAGGCAACGAUCAGUAGCCGGUCUGAGAGGAUGAACGGCCACAUUGGAACUGAGACACGGUCCAAACUCCUACGGGAGGCAGCAGUGGGGAAUAUUGCACAAUGGGGGAAACCCUGAUGCAGCAACGCCGCGUGAGUGAAGAAGUAUUUCGGUAUGUAAAGGUCUAUCAGCAAGGAAGAAGAGAGACGGUACUUGACUAAGAAGCCCCGGCUAACUAC
rnacentral:rRNA from 1 species